rnacentral:rRNA from 1 species
UACGUAGGGGGCGAGCGUUGUCCGGAAUUAUUGGGCGUAAAGAGCGUGUAGGCGGUUCGGUAAGUCUGCCGUGAAAUCCUGGGGCUCAACCCCGGGCGUGCGGUGGAUACUGCCGGGCUAGAGGGUGGUAGAGGCGAGUGGAAUUCCCGGUGUAGCGGUGAAAUGCGCAGAUAUCGGGAGGAACACCAAUGGCGAAGGCAGCUCGCUGGGACGUUACUGACGCUGAGACGCGAAAGCGUGGGGAGCAAACAGG